UGGGUAGUAUCGCAACUUAUUUCCCCGAGGAGGCAUUUCUCGUACACACCCGGCCCCAGCCGUGGAGGGAGGAGGCUGGUGUGUUAUUUUUGUGUUUUUUGAAGCGAAUUAUCCUGUUGCCGAGGGAGCCAUGCAUCUAGAAACGGCCAGGGAAGGAGACGGUGGCUGAGUGGUUAGCGUGCCGGUCCUGCGUUCGCUGCGUCAUGGAUGAUGAGGGUUUCAAUCUGCUGCCACAGACUACUUGUCCUGAAGACCACCACCAUCAUCCUGGACUGUAUGGGACUGUCCAAGGGAAAGCAAGAUGGGGCAGCUAUAAACACUUGCCGGCUUGGGCCCACCACCAGGCCCAGCCAAGGGAGGUUGGUGUAGCAGUGCUGGGAGGUUCCAUAACACAGGGCACUCCUCACCUCAACAACAGUCUCUUCACCGACAAGUAAUUCUUCACCAACAAGCUUUUCAGCAGCUUGGAGGAAUAGCAGAUGUGAGUGAUCCUGUUUUAACCACGUCUAAUAAGUGUCAACAGCUGUUCCAACCAUUCCGAUUUGAGGGUAGUGUGUCAGCCUCUGAGGCCGGUCCGUCCAUCCCUGUCAGUAUCCUGCGUGAUACAGGUGCCUCGCACAGUAUUGUGACACUACCAAACGAAGAAGAGGAGGAGGAGGAGGAGGAGGACUGGGAAGAAGACGAGGAACACAGGAGGAACCCAUUGAGAGAACAAGAAGAAGAAGAAGAAGAAGAAGAAGAGGAGGACACAGGAAUUCCUUGGUGCAGAAGUCUUGUGAAACUGUCAGCAGGGUCACAUUAAACUCUAGCAGAUGAACCUGACUCAGUAAAGGUGGUAUAUCACUCAUCAGGCAACAACAACAUGACAAAAUAAUAAUAGGCCGAAGUGAUAGCGUACUGGACCCACAUUCGCCGCGUGAUGGACGACGCGGGUUCGAAUCCUCACGCUACCACGCUGUGUGGGGCCGGGAAGAUGUGCCGUGGGCUCAAC